rnacentral:rRNA from 1 species
GAUGAACGUUGGCGGCGUGCCUAAUACAUGCAAGUCGAACGAAGACUGUAGUAAUACUGCCUUAGUGGCGAACGGGUGAGUAACGCGUGGGUGACCUGCCCCGAAGUGUGGGAUAACAGUUCGAAAGGAUUGCUAAUACUGCAUAAUAUCCAAGAGAUUAGACGCUUUUGGAUUAAAGGAGUAAUUCGCUUCGGGAGGGGCCCGCGUCCCAUCAGCUAGUUGGUAAGGUAAUGGCUUACCAAGGCGAUGACGGGUAGGGGACCUGAGAGGGUGGCCCCCCACAAUGGAACUGAAACACGGUCCAUACACCUACGGGUGGCAGCAGUAGGGAAUAUUAGUAAUGGGCGAAAGCCUGAACUAGCAACGCCGCGUGUGCGAAGAAGGCCUUCGGGUCGUAAAGCACUUUUUGAGAGGAUGAGGAAGGACGGUACUCUCAGAAUAAGUCUCGGCUAACUACGUG